rnacentral:sRNA from 1 species
UACAGCACCUGGUAUUCCCAGACAGUCUCCCUUCCAAGUACUAACAAGGCCCAACCUUGCUUAGCUUCUGAGAUCAGAUGAGAU